GCAGGCUGCAACUCGCCUGCAUGAAGUCGGAGUUGCUAGUAAUCGCAGAUCAGAAUGCUGCGGUGAAUGCGUUCCCGGGUCUUGUACACACCGCCCGUCACACCAUGGAAGUUGGGGGCGCCCGAAGUCGGCUAGGAAAUAGGCUGCCUAAGGUGAAACCAAUGACUGGGGUGAAGUCGUAACAAGGUACC
rnacentral:rRNA from 1 species